GCAGACACAUUCCAGCCAAUCAGCAGCAGACCCUCCCUCCCAGACCCUCCCUCCUCCUGGACAGCAUCCAUUGUGAAGCUGCAUUCUUAGUGAGCUGUCCAGGAGGUGGGAGGGUCUGGGAGGGAGGGUCUGCUGCUGAUUGGCUGGAAUGUGUCUG